GAAGAUCUCCACCUGCUCACAUCUCAUCCUUCUUGUAGCUGGCUGAGUAUUUAGCAAAGGCAAGUGACAAGAAUCAGAUAUUCAAAACCUUCCAGGCUCGUGUAUGCAGCGUCAGUUUUUAUGUGAGCGGGAGACUUCUCCAGCAGACCCUUCCCCACACCUGCUUUCAAGCUCUUGCCUUCCUCUGCCACUUUCCUGCCUGUCCUGUUCCAGAGUUCCUCCACAACAGAGCUGCAGCCUUCCCAAGGCUCAACCAUGCUCCUGGAGCUCCUCCCAGUGCUGGGGAUACACUUUCUCCUGAGAGAUGCCCAAGCUCAGUCAGUGACUCAGCCUGAUGCUCGUGUCACUGUCUCUGAAGGAGCCUCUCUGCAGCUGAGAUGCAAUUAUUCCACCUCUGGGACACCUUAUCUGUUCUGGUAUGUCCAGUACCCGCGGCAGGGGCUGCAGCUGCUCCUCAAGUACUAUUCAGGAGACCAAGUGGUUCAAGGACUGAAUGACUUUGAGGCUGAGUUCAGCAAGAGUGACUCUUCCUUCCACCUGCGGAAAGCCGCCGUGCACUGGAGCGACUCGGCUGUGUACUUCUGUGCUCUGAGAGCACAGUGUGUUGGGCUGAAGGGGGAGCCGAACACAAACACCCAUGGUCGUGGGUGCUCAGACUCAGGAUCUCUCCUUGUGGUCUCUGUGGCAUCUCUUUUGACUUGGCAAGAAGGGGGAAGUUGCUCAGUACCCACCCACUGCCUUUGCACAGCUCAUUUCCAGCUGGAAUACCCACUGCCUGACUUCAUCUCAGAAGCUCUUUGCAUAUUUUCAAAAUUAUAUAAUGCUCAUAAUUCUUUAGGAUGGAGGAGACUGUCAUUUUCCCACGAGAACCUUUUCCUGAGUGGGCAUUGCUGGGCCAGUGACUACACUGAUCAGUGACAAGCAGCUGAUCGUGUCUGUGAGGAGAGACUAGGAGCUUUCAUUUGUCAUUUCAUGUGUCUACACAGAAAGUGAAAGGUGCGCUCUGCAGCCUUCAUCCUGACGUUUGCCUUCACUGCUGUCUUUCAUGCUGAUUUUCCUAUAAAUUCUUCUUCUAGUGCUAAUUCCACUGAUCAGAAUUGACCGCAAUAUACAGGAGCCUAGCAUAGCAGUCUUCUAAGAGACUCCA